GCCGGGCGUGGUGGCACGUGCCUGUAGUCCCAGCUACUCGGAAGGCUGAGGUGGGAGGAUCGCUUGAGCCCAGGAGUUCUGGACUGUAGUUCACUAUGCUGAUCGGGUGUCCGCACUAAGUUCAGAAUCAAUAUGGUGACCUCCCGGGAGCGGGAGCGGAGGACCACCAGGUUGCCUAAGGAGGGGUGAACCGGCCCAGGUCGGAAAUGGAGCAGGUCAAAACUCCUGUGCUGAUCAGUAGCGGGAUCGCGCCUGUGAAUUGCCACUGCACUCCAGCCUGGGCAACAUAGCGAGACCCUGUCUCU
rnacentral:SRP_RNA from 1 species